rnacentral:rRNA from 1 species
GACGAACGCUGGCGGCGUGCUUAACACAUGCAAGUCGAACGGAAAGGCCCUGCUUUUGUGGGGUGCUCGAGUGGCGAACGGGUGAGUAACACGUGAGUAACCUGCCCUUGACUUUGGGAUAACUUCAGGAAACUGGGGCUAAUACCGGAUAGGAGCUCCUGCUGCAUGGUGGGGGUUGGAAAGUUUCGGCGGUUGGGGAUGGACUCGCGGCUUAUCAGCUUGUUGGUGGGGUAGUGGCUUACCAAGGCUUUGACGGGUAGCCGGCCUGAGAGGGUGACCGGCCACAUUGGGACUGAGAUACGGCCCAGACUGCUACGGGAGGCAGGAGUGGGAAAUAUUGCACGAUGGGCGGAAGCCUGAUGCAGCAACGCCGCGUGCGGGAUGACGGCUUUCGGGUUGUAAACCGCUUUAGCCUGUAAAGAAGAGUGUGUGACGGUAAUGGGUAAAGAAGCACCGGCUAACUACGUG